UGGUGGUUCAGUGGUAGAAUUCUCG
rnacentral:piRNA from 5 species